rnacentral:lncRNA from 1 species
GCGUGCGUGGCCAGCGGUCGAGCGGGUUGAGCUGCUGCUUCCCUAGCCCUUGCCUGGGCGCAGGGAGCCGCUUCGCGUCGUCCGGCUGUCUCUCCUUUCCCCUGUUACCUUCAAAGUAAUCUUCUGGCUGCCUUAGAACUAAAAUUAACACUCAUAACCUAGAGAAGUGAGUGGCACAUGGAGAUUCAGAGGACAGUGUUAGUUUAGAGGUAGAGAAGCAGGAAAAGCCAAAUAAACGCUACCUAAAUCACAAAGGAAAUGGAGCAAGAGACUCCAGAGAAGGUGGACUCUGCACAGGAGAAGGUCAGAGGCAAGUCCCAGCCAGCAGAUGACUCGGAGGACAGCCGAGAAAAGGCUGGGACAGAAGGGACGGGAGAACUGACCGAAGCCUAUGAGCUGCAGGUAGCUGAAGAAAUGGCAAAAGAGAUCAAGAAAACUGCUGGAGCCCACAGCCCUCGGCACCAGAGUGUCUCCUACCAGUGCCAGGGGCAUUGCUGUGCGUGUGCGUGUGGGUGCCCGGUGCAGCAGGGCCAGGCAGCUCAGUUCCUCUGAACAUGUUUUGUUUCUGUCUUGUGAAUGUGCUGUUG